rnacentral:rRNA from 1 species
UACGGGGGGGACGAGCGUUGUUCGGAUUUACUGGGCGUAAAGGGCGCGUAGGCGGACCUUCAAGUCGGAUGUGAAACCCCCGGGCUUAACUCGGGGCCUGCAUUUGAUACUGUCGGUCUUGAGUACAGGAGAGGAGAGUGGAAUUCCAGGUGUAGCGGUGAAAUGCGUAGAUAUCUGGAAGAACACCAGUAGCGAAGGCGGCUCUCUGGACUGAUACUGACGCUCAAGCGCGAAGGCUUGGGGAGCAAACAGG